rnacentral:rRNA from 1 species
AACGAACGCUGGCGGCAUGCCUAACACAUGCAAGUCGAACGAGACCUUCGGGUCUAGUGGCGCACGGGUGCGUAACGCGUGGGAACCUGCCCUUAGGUUCGGAAUAACUCCCCGAAAGGGGUGCUAAUACCGGAUAAUGUCGUCGGACCAAAGAUUUAUCGCCUUUGGAUGGGCCCGCGUUGGAUUAGCUAGUUGGUAGGGUAAAAGCCUACCAAGGAGACGAUCCAUAGCUGGUCUGGGAGGAUGGUCAGCCACACUGGGACUGAGACACGGCCCAGACUCCUACGGGAGGCAGCAGUGGGGAAUAUUGGCCAAUGGGCGAAAGCCUGAUCCAGCCAUGCCGCGUGAGUGAUGAAGGCCUUAGGGUUGUAAAGCUCUUUUACCCGGGAUGAUAAUGACAGUACCGGGCGAAUAAGCUCCGGCUAACUCCGUG